rnacentral:rRNA from 1 species
UGGGGAAUUUUCCGCAAUGGGCGAAAGCCUGACGGAGCAAGACCGCGUGGGGGAAGAAGGCUCUUGGGUUGUAAACCCCUUUUCUCUGGGAAGAAAGUUGUGAAAGCAACCUGACGGUACCAGAGGAAUCAGCAUCGGCUAACUCCGUGCCAGCAGCCGCGGUAAGACGGAGGAUGCAAGCGUUAUCCGGAAUGAUUGGGCGUAAAGCGUCCGCAGGUGGCAGUUCAAGUCUGCUGUCAAAGACCGGGGCUUAACUUCGGAAAGGCAGUGGAAACUGAACAGCUAGAGUAUGGUAGGGGCAGAGGGAAUUCCUGGUGUAGCGGUGAAAUGCGUAGAGAUCAGGAAGAACAUCGGUGGCGAAGGCGCUCUGCUGGACCAUAACUGACACUCAGGGACGAAAGCUAGGGGAGCGAAUG